rnacentral:tRNA from 1 species
UCCCUGGUGGUCCAGUGGUUAAGACUUGGCACUUUAACUGCUGGGGCCCAGGUUCGAUCCCUGGUCAGGGAA